rnacentral:sRNA from 1 species
UACGCUGCCGGCCUCUCGGCGCACUCCCAGAGGCUUGGGGGCCGGGGCUGGAGACGGGAAGCGGGCUCCCCGCCCGGGCUCUGCGCGGGUUGACAUGGGGCACGCCACGCCCCUGCCCCUCCCCGGGCCUCAGUUUCGCCGUCUGUGGAGGGGGCAGGGGUCUCCAAGCGCCUUCCUGCAAGGCACCUGCCGGACGCCGGCUCAUCUGGUAUUUCCUGAGCACCUGCGACGUCCUGGGUGCAGGACCCGGGCCGGAAUGGGACACGGCUCUGCCCUCUGAGAGGCUGCUUCCCGCCGUGGGAUUGGGGCGGGCAGUAAACACGUCACUUUGGUGGCAGUUCAUGGAGAAUAGCUUGAGGUGACAAGACAGCAGACACGACAUGGGUCUCUGGGACUGCCUGUACUGUUGUGGGCAGCCCCUCCAGAGCCCUGAGUCAUGCAGCUUUCAGAGGCACCCAUGGCUAUGAGAAGCACAGUCUCUGCCUGAGGCUCCAGAGCGGCCCUUUUUCCCCAGCAGCAGACCUCGGGACCUGUGAGCGCUGCAUCCAGUUAACCAUGGGAAGAGUCAGCACCAGCCACCAGCCCCUUAGGUGAGGACUCUGCCUGGGGCUCCGCUGAUGGUUGCGAAUCAUGGAGCUGCAGAGAGCUCCUCCAGCCAGGAAACGUUCUUGGUGAAAGCUGUGGUCUAACUCCACCGGCUCUUCCUGCACGUUGUAUUCAAGAGGGGUGCCUGCCCCCGCUGACUCAGGAGCUUGGGUGCUGCAGCCGCCACGAAUGGGGAGGUGGGCCCUCGAUGUGGCUUUUGUGUGGAAGGCGGUGUUGACCCUGGGGCUGGUGCUUCUCUACUACUGCUU